rnacentral:rRNA from 1 species
GUUCCCAUCCCGAACACGGAAGUUAAGCUUUUCAGCGCCGAUGGUAGUUAGGGGCUGUCCCCUUGUGAGAGUAGGACGUCGCUAGGC